rnacentral:rRNA from 1 species
ACUACGGGUGGCAGCAGUGGGGAAUAUUUCGCAAUGGGCGAAAGCCUGACGCAGCGACGCCGCGUGAGGGAUGAAGGUCUUCGGAUCGUAAACCUCUGUCAGCAGGGAAGAAAGGUCACUGUGCUAAUCAGCAGUGAAUUGACGGUACCUGCAAAGGACGCACCGGCUCACUCCGUGCCAGCAGCCGCGGUAAUACGGAGGGUGCGAGCGUUAAUCGGAAUUAAUGGGCGUAAAGCGCUCGUAGGCGGUAUGGCAAGUCAAGGGUGAAAUGCCCGCGCUGAACGUGGGAACUGCCUGUGAAACUGGCAAACUGGAGUGUGUGAGAGGAUAGUGGAAUUCCAGGUGUAGGAGUGAAAGCCGUAGAUAUCGGGAGGAACAUCAGUGGCGAAGGCGACUAUCUGGCACAUAACUGACGCUGAGGAGCGAAAGCGUGGGUAGCAAACAGGAUUAGAUACCCCUGUAGUC